rnacentral:rRNA from 1 species
CAGUAGCCGCGGUAAUACGUAGGGUGCGAGCGUUAAUCGGAAUUACUGGGCGUAAAGCGUGCGCAGGCAGUUGUGUAAGACAGGUGUGAAAUCCCCGGGCUUAACCUGGGAACUGCGCUUGUGACUGCACAGCUAGAGUAUGGCAGAGGGGGGUGGAAUUCCACGUGUAGCAGUGAAAUGCGUAGAGAUGUGGAGGAACACCGAUGGCGAAGGCAGCCCCCUGGGCCAAUACUGACGCUCAUGCACGAAAGCGUGGGGAGCAAACAGGAUUAGAUACCCGUGUAGUCCCUGUCUCUUAUAC